AUGGACCACGCAACAGGUGCCAUGGGCAGCCUGCUCCUCAAGCUCGGUGAACUCCUCAAGGAGGAAAACGAACUGCAGAAGGGCAUCAAGGAAGACGUCCAGUAUCUUCAAAGAGAGCUGAGGAGCAUGCACGCUGCCCUCCGCAAGGUCGGGGACGUGCCACGGGACCAGCUCGACGAGCAAGUCAAGCUCUGGGCAAACGAGGUCAGUGAUCUUUCAUAUAGAAUGGAGGAUACCAUCGACAAGUUCCUGAUACGUGUUGAGGGCCCUGAGCUUGACGACAAGCCGCACAAGCUCAAACAGCUCGUGAAGAAGAUGUGUGACUUGUUCACCAAGGGUAAGGCGCGACAUGCCAUCGGAAAAGAGAUCAAAGGCAUCAAGGCCAGCGUCCAGGAGGUGGCUGCCCGGCGUGACCGGUACAAGGUCAAAGAUGUGGUUCCUAAUCCAACUGGCCAAAUCAUGGUUGACCCUCGCCUAUCAGCUCUGUACGAGGACCGGAAAGAGCUCGUUGGCAUUGAUGAUUCAUUGAAUGAGCUAACCGAGAAGCUGAGUGACGGGGAUGGUGAUCUGUCCAAGCAACUCAAGAUACUCUCUGUUUUUGGCUUCAGAGGCCUUGGCAAGACAACUCUUGCCAAAGCAUUGUAUGAUAAUGGCCACGCGCAGUUUGAUUGCAGCGCUUUUGUUCCGGUAGGACAGAACCCUAGCGUGAAGAAAAUUCUCAAUGACAUACUCAAUGAAAUUGAUGGGAAAAAGUGCUUGGAGUUGGAUGAAAGGAAGCUAAUCAACAAACUCCGAGGGUUACUCGAGAACAGAAGGUUAUUUUCCGUUGUACGCACUCGCUUCGUACGUGGUGUACGCUACAACGAGCGGAGUACCAACCGUUGUUCAAGGCGGUGUGUACGAUGUUGGAGCAGGUGGCUACGGAGGUUUUUUCCCAACAUGGAUGGCAGCGUAAUCUCCGGCUCGGUCCACCAUCUCUUUUAA
rnacentral:rRNA from 1 species